rnacentral:misc_RNA from 1 species
GAAAUACCAAGGAAGCACUUGUAACUCCAACCACAAGGAAGACUUGAAGCAUCUCUGGCUAAAACAACAACUGCACAUCUAUUAGAUGACUUAUCCACUGCGCCAUCAAAGUUUAAUUUGAUCAAUCCUUGUUGAGGAGGAUUCCAAACAAUGGGAUACUGAUGGUUUGCCGUUUGGGGAGGAGAUUGAGAUUCCUGAAGAGAAUGGAAUUCCUCAAAAGUUUGAAAGAGUAGCUGAAAUCGAGUAGCGGAUCUAGAAAAAAAAUUUUCCAAGAUCAAUUGACUCUCUAUUAUUAAAAGAGUCCAAACUAAAUCUAACUGAAUAAGGACCCGGUCUUGCAUUAUUAGCUACUCUUCUCAUUUGACGAUCGUGGCAAGCCAUCCAAUAUCCAGAUUUGACAGAAUACUCUCCAGAGUAAGUGAAGUACCAAGUUAAUGCAUCAUCUCUAUUAAUGAGGCUUAUAGGUAUGGGGUUAAGGUUGUGAAAACAUCAGUGUCGGGAAUAGAAGCUAUUUGCAAGCCGAAUUGUACUGGUGACGAUCCCAUGUACCAACUCCUUGAACAUAACCUAGAUUUGGUCAUAAUCCCAAUUCAAAUAUUUAGCUUUCAUAUUGUUUUAGGCAGAGCCAAGACUACUGGGAUGGGAUGCAGAUUAUUUCCUUUGGAUUGCCACGAUUCAACUGUCAUCCUGACAUGAUGUAACGACAAAUGAUUCAAGUAGAGACUAAAACAGCGUUUGGAUAGGGAGAAAAGUGAAAGGAAAGAAAAUAAUUGAGGUAAAAUAAUCAUGAUUUGACUGAUUUCCCUGUUUGGUUACUGCAGGAAAAAUUUUGAAAUGAAAGAAAAUAAGUUGUAUUUUACCUUCAGUAUUUUCUCUCCAAUUUAGAUAGAAAAUGAGAAAUUUGAAAGGAUAAUUGUCCUUGACUUUGUGUAAUUUCAUAAAUGC